rnacentral:rRNA from 1 species
UCGUGGAGGAUGGAAGGUUUUAGGAUUGUAAACUCCUUUUGUGAGAGAAGAAUAAUGACGGUAUCUCACGAAUAAGCACCGGCUAACUCCGUGCCAGCAGCCGCGGUAAUACGGAGGGUGCAAGCGUUACUCGGAAUCACUGGGCGUAAAGAGUGCGUAGGCGGGGUUGUAAGUCAGGUGUGAAAUCCUAUGGCUUAACCAUAGAACUGCAUUUGAAACUACAACCC